GACGAACGCUGGCGGCGUGCUUAACACAUGCAAGUCGAACGAUGAAGCUGGAGCUUGCUCCGGUGGAUUAGUGGCGAACGGGUGAGUAACACGUGAGUAAUCUGCCCUUGACUCUGCGGUAACUGCGGGAAACUGUAGCUAAUACCGGAUACGACACCUUCGGGCAUCCGAUGGGUGUGGAAAGAAUUUCGGUCAAGGAUGAACUCGCGGCCUAUCAGCUAGUUGGUGAGGUAAUGGCUCACCAAGGCGACGACGGGUAGCCGGCCUGAGAGGGUGACCGGCCACACUGGGACUGAGACACGGCCCAGACUCCUACGGGAGGCAGCAGUGGGGAAUAUUGCACAAUGGGCGAAAGCCUGAUGCAGCAACGCCGCGUGAGGGAUGAAGGCCUUCGGGUUGUAAACCUCUUUUAGUUGGGAAGAAGCGAAUGUGACGGUACCAACAGAAAAAGCACCGGCUAACUACGUGCCAGCAGCCGCCGUAA
rnacentral:rRNA from 1 species